CAUUUUUAUUAAGUAAUAAGAUGAUUAUUUUUUAUUUCUAGGCAAAAUGUAUUCAUAAUUAGACUAAAAAAUAAUUAUAAUGUGACCUAUCGGCCUUCGAGACAUAUAAUUUGAUAAUCUUAUAUAAUGAUAAUUUAGUGAGACAAUUGGAAAUAUAACCAUUUUGUCUUUAAAAUCCACACAUAAAUGGAUGUAAAACAGUUAACAAAACUCCAGUGAGGCAGCCACUGGUUAGAUGUAGCUGCAUUUACUCAGGCCAAAGAAUAUAUUUGCAAGUAGUAUACCAAAAGAAACACAGGGAACAUAUUUUGUGGGGAUAAUGAAGUAUCCUUGAGAAAGCACCCGUCGUUUCCUCGAUAGUAAGGCGACAUGAAUUUUUUUGUUAUUGAGAGAGCAUGAGUGGAGGAGGGGCAGAGAGAGAGCAGGACUGAAGAUCUCAAGUGAGCUCUGCUGACAGCAGUGAGCCCAACGUGGGGCUUAAACUCAUGAACUGUGAGAUCAUGACCUGAGCCGAAGUCGAACACUCAGUCGACUGAGCCACCCAGGUGCCCCCCAGAUUUUAUUGUCAAAAGCAGGUGGUAAAGGCUUGUUUUUAAAGAGAAGACAAAAGAGCUCUCCCUCCUUGAGGUAGGUAUAGUUCUGCGCAAAUCUUAACAGCUUAUAGGAACAGAAAUCAUGAGGUACAGACCUCAAAUUGAUGAAGAUCCUCUCAUCUAAAAUUUGUGUAUUUUUUAUUGAAGUAUAACUAGCAUACGGUGUUAUCUUAAUUUCAGGUAUACUAUAUAAUGAUUCAACAAUUCUGUAAAUUACCCAGGGCUCAUCACAAUAAGUGGUCUCUUAAUCCCCUUGCUCUGUUUCACCCACCUUCUGUUUGGCAAGUCCGGGUUGGUUGUAAAAUGUGCAUUUUUAAUAAUUGCAGGCAAAGAAAUGAAAAGAAUGAGAAUGCUCUACAGACAUCACAUCGGAAAGAAAACACUAGCAUGGGCCAGUAUGGAGUGGACGGAGGAACAGGAGAGACAGGGUUCAGGGGCAGAGGAAGAAGACACGGACCAGAUGAGCACUAUUAUUCAUGCGAUACAACUCAUCAUGUACUUCAGAUGAACAGAACAGCGAGCGGUGUUUUUAGUUGA
rnacentral:lncRNA from 1 species